GGCGCCCUGCCCGAGUAGAAGGGCCUCGCCCGCAAGGCGGGGUAGCAAUUGAUGGUGCAACUCCAUCGGGCGCCUCCA
rnacentral:tRNA from 1 species